GCGGUAACCGCCGUGCAGUACCUGGCAAAUAGCUGCGAGUUAUCUUCGAUGCAGGUCACUACUUCGACGAAGACUCAAUAAGGUCGAUCCUUUAUUAAGCUGCCGAACAAUUAAUCCUUCAUAUCCUGUACUUCGAUAAAGUCUUCACUCUCCAAUACUACUGAAAAGG